rnacentral:lncRNA from 1 species
GGGGGUCUUCCGGUUGUAGAGGGGCCGAGCAAAAAGAUUGUUGGGAAUGUAAGCAUAAGAGACAUAAGACACUUGCUGCUCAAACCCGAACUUUUCUCCAAUUUCAGGUACAGUGAAAGACAUGCAGCUUUUAACCUGCAUAGCAUUAUCUCAAAUUUAAAUGUUGAAUUUUAAAUUACCAUAGGAAAACUACUAUUUACUAACAAGUGAUAAUUAGCAAACAGAGCCAUGGGAAAAUUCGAUGAUUCCAAGUUAGGUCACUACUGAAGAUGCUUACCUAGUCUGCCUCUCCAAAACUUAUAUCUACUAUUUUAGCAAACAGUGUUCCAUGCAACCAAGGGUGGUUUAACAAUGCUUUUAUCUACUUGAUUCUUAAUUACAGGCAGCUCACCGUGGAGGAUUUCAUUAGUACUGUUGUCUCAACCGGCCAAGAAAUUGGGAGAGUCACCACACCAAUAACAUGCAAGGUAGAUUCAACUCUUGGUAGUGUGAUCCAGUGCCUUGCCACCAAAAGGGUGCACAGAAUCUAUA